UACAGAGGGGGCAAGCGUUGUUCGGAAUUACUGGGCGUAAAGGGCGCGUAGGCGGCCUUCUAAGUCGAACGUGAAAUCCCCGGGCUCAACCCGGGAACUGCGUCCGAUACUGGAGGGCUUGAAUCCGGGAGAGGGAUGUGGAAUUCCAGGUGUAGCGGUGAAAUGCGUAGAUAUCUGGAGGAACACCGGUGGCGAAGGCGGUUCUCUGGGCAUUACCUGACGCUGAGGCGCGAAAGCGUGGGGAGCAAACAGG
rnacentral:rRNA from 1 species